GACAACUUCUAUAGAAGCAGCUGUAGCUUGAACGUAACUGUAUGACUUUGAUAUAGUAUUCCAGCUUUUCAACAAGUGUUAGAUUUGAAAAGGUUAAAAGGUCAAUUAUUUCCUGAAGGAGAAAGAAAAUUCAUGAAUAAUUUAAAAAUCAUCAUUUCUGUUUCUGUACAUCAGUUUAGACAUCCCUUGUCAAAACUAAGCCUACGUUGCAUUGUUGUAUUGCGGAUAAACACAAAAAGUCAACAACUGAAAAAUGAUUUCUUAAAGGAUAAAAAGCUGUCUCUCUCCAGCAAUGGAUGCACUGUUGGAAGCUUUGAAAAAAAAUCCAGAAUUACAAAGUUGCUAACAGAGCACAUGGGAGUAGCACAUGCAGGUCUAUGGUAAAGCUGAGAAUCUGAUUGCUACAAAUCCCUUGUGCAUUCAGUCUUGAACUGAGAAGCUGAUUUUUCAGCAAGCAGUCACAGUUGUGUAUCCCUUUUUGAUGAGCUGCAAUGUAGGAAAACAUAUGUUGUGGAAUAAUAGCUAAAACUGUGCAUUAUCUAUUCAAAGACUUUCAGUGGUCUAGUUGCUGCUGUAAAUGUGCUAAAUAAAAGUACUAAAAGUGAAAAGUGAAAAAUUAUCUACAAAUGAAAAAAAAACCCAAAUACUUACAUGUAAAAUGCUUUAACCAUUUCUUAAUAUCUGCUCAAUACUUUCAUUAUAUUCUAAUGAUAAUAUUCUAUGAUAAUAUUAUGAUAAUAUUCUGGUAAUACUAAUCAUUUUUUUAGUAAGUUAAGACUUGUAUAUUUAUCUCUGAUUAUAUCUGGUUAGUCUAUAUGUAGUUCUUAGAGUAACCUUAGAUGAUCAUACAUUAGUUUCUUUGCCCGUUGCCCUUUAGUAAAAUAUCAUUUAUCAGGACUUACUUUUUAAAAAAUUGUUUUUAUUCUAGUGAAUAUCUACAUUACUCUAUCAUAUUUCCUUUUUUACUCUUUGGUACAUCAUUGUCACUGCUUUCUUUGAAUAUGACAUUUGUUUCAUUGAGUUUGAAACAUCUAAUUUUUUUUCCCAUGGCACAAAAGAAUGCUAAAUUAAAUCUUCAUAAAUUUAAAAGUGUCCUUCUUUGACAUUAGAAACUUUUAUGUACUUUCAAGGAAGCUAAAUAAAAUACCAUCAGUAUGUUCCUUUUCUUUUUUCAUAUUCCUGUGAGCAAAACACCUGCUUGUCUGGAUUACUGUGUAUAUACUACUGGUGAGGAAACAGUGUGAAAUACUGAGCCAUAUUAAUGAUGAUAGGAAAAUAAACAGGGAUAGUAUCCAUGUUAAGUUAUUUCCUCAUCCAGAAAGGUAUUAUGAUUAGAUUAUUCAUAUAGGUAAGGACUAGAUUGAAAAAUUAGAUAUAUAAAUAUGGUUUCAAAAUACAGACUGUUCAGCAUUGACUAUUCUCAGCUGAAUCAUGUAUAUUAAUACACAAUCUGGAAAAUGAAAAUUUUGAUACAGCUAUAUAUUUACAUAAAAACGUUGAUGUUCCAGCCUAAUAGCUUAUAAUGAAUGACUUGCUUUAGAACAUCAAAAUAAUAACCAGAUACUGACAACAGACAGUUCAAGUUAGAUAUGAAUGGAUGUGUACGUAUACACUAACUCAUUCAUUUUUUUAUUAUUUUAUUCUUUGCACAUGCUGGAUAUCUAUUUGACCAAAGACUAGCAUUCUGACAGACUAGGAAGCUAAGAUCUUGGUUUUGUCUGCUUUGUUCUAAUAGGGAUUUACACAGUGAAUUUUCUAAUUGCAAACCAAACCUGUUCUUUGACUGGACAUUGUAAAAGGUAAUUAAGCUUCACCCUAUUACUAACAGAGAUCACGAAAAGUUAAAGCAAUGUGUUUCCAAUAUUGAAUAAAUAUAAACAAAACUGUAGCCUUUCUUGUUUACAUUUGUAGCGUUGGAAAGCUUAUCCUUUUUAAAGAAACAAGAAAGCACUGCAUUUUCUGUUUAUUUUUAAAUGUCCAGGUGAUUGACCCUUUAGGAAAGAACAUAUUUGUAAUGAGCAGUGAGCCUAACUGAUACAGGACAUAUUUCUUUUUUUUUAAUUGAUUAUGAUUGAAAAAUUAUUUUAAAAGACAUGCUACAUAUUAGUUAGGCGUAUUUGCAAUUGUUCCGAAAAUAAAUUAUACUUUCUUAUAUCAGAUAUUUUCAUGUCUGUUAGCAUUAUUGGGUUUCAGAUUGUGUGUACCACUGAGAUAAAUUUACUGAGAUGUGAGCUCUCAUAUCAGUGUCCAGUGUUAAUAAACUUUGUGUUUGGCACCUUCUUCUUUAUCAGCAUCAUUUUAAAGAAUUACUCUUACUCUCUCAAACUUUGCUGUGUCAACAGCCCUGGAGCAUUUGAGCUGUCAGAAAUAG
rnacentral:lncRNA from 7 species